GACGAACGCUGGCGGCGUGCCUAAUACAUGCAAGUCGAACGAAGCUGUUUUAACUGGUGCUUGCACCGACUUAAACAACUGAGUGGCGAACGGGUGAGUAACACGUGGGUAACCUGCCCCAAAGCGGGGGAUAACAUUUGGAAACAGAUGCUAAUACCGCAUAACCACAGAAACCACAUGGUUUUGAUUUGAAAGAUGGCCUUUGUGCUAUCACUUCUGGAUGGACCCGCGGCGUAUUAGCUAGUUGGUAAGGUAACGGCUUACCAAGGCAAUGAUACGUAGCCGAACUGAGAGGUUGAUCGGCCACAAUGGGACUGAGACACGGCCCAUACUCCUACGGGAGGCAGCAGUAGGGAAUCUUCCACAAUGGGCGCAAGCCUGAUGGAGCAACACCGCGUGAGUGAAGAAGGGUUUCGGCUCGUAAAACUCUGUUGUUAAAGGAGAACGUAUCUAAGAGUAACUGCUUAGGUAGUGACGGUAUUUAACCAGAAAGCCACGGCUAACUACGUGCCAGCAGCCGCCGUAA
rnacentral:rRNA from 1 species